rnacentral:rRNA from 1 species
UACAGAGGUCUCAAGCGUUGUUCGGAUUCAUUGGGCGUAAAGGGUGUGUAGGUGGCGCCGUAAGUCGGGUGUGAAAUUUCGGAGCUUAACUCCGAAACUGCAUUCGAUACUGCGGUGCUUGAGGACUGGAGAGGAGACUGGAAUUCAUGGUGUAGCAGUGAAAUGCGUAGAUAUUGGGAAGAACACCGGUGGCGAAGGCGGCGACCUGGUCCGUGACUGACGCUGAGGCGCGAAAGCGUGGGGAGCAAACAGG